UACGUAGGUGGCAAGCGUUGUCCGGAUUUACUGGGCGUAAAGGGUGCGUAGGCGGAUUUUUAAGUGGGAUGUGAAAUACCCGGGCUCAACUUGGGUGCUGCAUUCCAAACUGGAAAUCUAGAGUGCAGGAGAGGAGAAUGGAAUUCCUAGUGUAGCGGUGAAAUGCGUAGAGAUUAGGAAGAACACCAGUGGCGAAGGCGAUUCUCUGGACUGUAACUGACGCUGAGGCACGAAAGCGUGGGUAGCAAAC
rnacentral:rRNA from 1 species